AAAUCAUUUGCUCUCAAACCCCGAUCCCUUCUCUCCUCCACCGAUUCUUCUUCUUCUCCAUUUCACCUCUCCAUUUCUUUUGUGUGAUCUAGGAUUUCUGAUUUCUGUUUUAAAAUCACAAAAAAAUCAGGAUUUCUGAUUUCAUGUUUAAAAUAGCAUGUUAAUAGAGUAUCGAUAGAUAGGUAGCUUCAACGUAAGGAAUCUAAAUUGGUUUUAGCUCAAAAGCGAAAACGAUGGGUUCCAUUGAAGAAGAAGCAAGACCUCUCAUCGAAGAAGGUUUAAUAUUACAAGAAGCGAAAUUGUAUGUUGAAGAUGGUUCAGUGGACUUUAAUGGAAACCCACCAUUGAAGGAGAAAACAUGAAACUGGAAAGCUUGUCCUUUUAUACUUGGUAAUGAAUGUUGUGAGAGGCUAGCUUACUAUGGUAUUGCUGGGAAUCUUAUCACUUACCUCACCACUAAGCUACAUCAAAGAAAUGUGUUUGCUGUUACAAACGUUAUCACAUGGCAAGGGACUUGUUAUCUUACUCCUCUCGAUGGUCAUAUCUCAUGAGUGUAUAUAGCUUCUGUGUCUAUCGGUUCUGAAGUGAAUUGAAUUGAAUUAGCUUGAAUUAGCUUGUGCAUACUUAAACUAGCAAAUGGAUUUGAUUCUUGGGAUCUUUCCACAGAGACUACAGAAAAUCAGAAAUCUUCUACACUUGAAUCUUUACUUAAGUCUAGUUGUAUCUGCAUACACCAAAUUUCCCUUGUAGAUUAUGCGUCAUUCUUAUAGUUACAUUCUCUUGUUUGUAUAUGCAGGUUCCCUGACGCUAUACCGACCAUGAAGCCAAUGAUGACUUCUCUUCCAAAUGCAUUUAUUGCGACCAAUACAAAAGUAUUACUUGAAUGGUUACAGAUAUGAGCUGGCUUUGAGCAUUGUGUGCACGUUAUUCUUUAAUCAUGUGAUAUAUUUGGUUUCUCUCUAGUUAGAGAAGCUUUGGUUUGGUAUGUGAGCUGUUUGAUUUUCUUCAAGCAAUUUUGGUGUUGUGAUGGAACUCUCCUCUCUUCUUACUUAUCCUUUAGGACUUUUUGUUUACCAUAGAUUAUUUGCUUUGGACUACUCCUUAAGCUAGAGGGUAAUAUUUAUGCUUCUAGGUUUGUU